AGCAGCCGCGGUAAUUCCAGCUCCAAUAGCGUAUAUUAAAGUUGUUGCAGUUAAAAAGCUCGUAGUUGAAUUUCGGGGUUAGUAGGUUGGUCAUGCCUCUGGUAUGUACUGGUCUCACUGAUUCCUCCUUCCUGAUGAGCCGUAAUGCCAUUAAUUUGGUGUUGCGGGGAAUUUGGACUGUUACUUUGAAAAAAUUAGAGUGUUUAAAGCAAGCUAACGCUUGAAUACAUUAGCAUGGAAUAAUGAAAUAGGACGUUCGAUCCUAUUUUGUUGGUUUCUAGGAUUGACGUAAUGAUUAAUAGGGAUAGUUGGGGGCAUUAGUAUUCAAUUGUCAGAGGUGAAAUUCUUGGAUUUAUUGAAGACUAACUACUGCGAAAGCAUUUGCCAAGGAUGUUUUCAUUAAUCAGGAACGAAAGUUAGGGGAUCGAAGACGAUCAGAUACCGUCGUAGUCUUAAACCAUAAACUAUGCCGACUAGGGAUCGGAUGAUGUUAAUUUUUUAAUGACUCA
rnacentral:rRNA from 1 species